rnacentral:rRNA from 1 species
CCUACGGGAGGCAGCAGUGGGGGAUAUUGCACAAUGGGGGAAACCCUGAUGCAGCGACGCCGCGUGUGGGAAGACGGUCCUCUGGAUUGUAAACCACUGUCCCCAGGGACGAAGAUGCCGGUACCUGGGGAGGCAGCUCCGGCUAACUACGUGCCAGCAGCCGCGGUAAUACGGAGGAUCCGAGCGUUAUCCGGAUUUAUUGGGUUUAAAGGGAGCGUAGGUGGGACUGCAAGUUGGGUGUCAAAUCUACCGGCUCAACCGGUAGCCGCACUCAAAACUGCAGUUCUUGAGUGAAGUAGAGGCAGGCGGAAUUCCUAGUGUAGCGGUGAAAGGCGUAGAUAUUAGGAGGAACACCAGUGGCGAAGGCGGCCUGCUGGGCUUUGACUGACGCUGAGGCUCGAAAGUGUGGGGAGCAAACAGGAUUAGAUACCCGGGUAGUC